rnacentral:lncRNA from 1 species
UUAGUCUUAACAAAGGGUCAAAAUGAGUCUAGGUAAUAUUGAAGAGACAACUACUAUUUGCAAAGGGGCAAUUAACUCCUGGAACACCGAAGAGGCAAAUAACUCUUGGAAAACUGAAGGGACAAAUGACUCUUGGAAAACUGAAGGGACAAAUAACUCUUGGAAACUGAAAGAACAAAUAACUCUUGGAAAACUGAAGGGACAAGUUACUAUUAAAACUUUAAAUCAAUGAUCCAUAUUGAUUUACUAUUAUAAUUUCAACCAACGGACUGAAAAAUUAGCACAUCUCCUCGUG